AGGUGAUCCGCCUGCCUCGGCCUCCCGAAGUGCUGGGAUUACAGGGUGAGCCACCACGCCUGGCUUGGCAGUAACUUGAGGAAUAAAGAAUACGGAAGGAAUUUCCUCAAAUCUUGUUGCCCUUCCCAUCUUUGUGAGCUGAGAUCAGAGUACCCUCUGCCUCUGCCUCUUGGAGGCGAUUAUGGUUUACAUAUAAAUGCAGAUUGCAAGUCCAGGAAGUUUAUUCUCUUUCCUCCUGUAGGCCUCACGCUGUAAGACACUUCCUCUAACAAAUGGCCAUCCCUUCCUCUUGUCCACUUACUGCUUAUCACCACCAGGUGGCACCUGGGCAGCAGAAUUGUCAGUGGGCGGGGACACACCCUGUUUACUUGUGUUGGUAACUAACUGCAUUGCAGCUGCUGAUCCUUUGGCUCCUGGGCCCCAGCUGGGACAAGACCUUCCUGAGGAUGAAGUUUUAUCCCCUAUAUAAUUUCUGAUGAUCUGGAUGAGGUGAGGAAGGGAGAAGUUUGGAAAGGAACAUCCAUAGGUCAUCCUCUCCAUUCGCCCACCCUCAGGAACAUCCUCCCCUACUCCAGUGCUUGGCAAAUUUCAGUUUAUAGAGAGGUUUCUCUCUCAGGAGUUUCAUCCAUGUUCCUGCUGUAGUUCUGCUUUAUCAGUUGGUGAGCAGAUCACUCAUAAUUCCUCCAAGUUCCUUGUUUCCUUUUCUACCUGCUCACCUCUGGGAAUAUGGAGGAUGUAGGAGAGAGAAUAUUGUUUCUUAAAUAGUUCUGCAAACUGAGUGAAGCAGUUGAGAUACUACUGGCCCUAGGGAAGUAGAGAAAAGGAAGUGAAAAAAUUUAAGGGGUAGAGGCUGGGCAGGGACAGGUUUUAAGCAGCUUUGGUAAACACAGGCUGAUGAAAUCUGUGCCCUGCAGAACCAGAUAAAAUUUAUCAGCUGCAGGCCUCAUCCUGUAAGACACUUCCUCUAAGAAAUGGCUAGUUUCUCCCCAAUGAUCAACCCCAGUUCUGCUGCUGCAUCUGACAGAUUUACAUAAUAUGCCCCACAUAUACUGCAUUAAAAGGUAAUCAUCUUAUGACCAACACUUCCGUCAUCAACGUCCAGUUAGCCUAGUACCUAGAUCCCAGGACAACACUCUACCUCUAAGGCCAGUUAACUGGUAACAAUAGUCAUCGGUGUACCCUGCACUUUUUCCUUCCUAAACCUACACAGUACACUGAGGGACUGCAUUAGUUCUGCACCUGACUGGCAAACCUUCCUUCUAACUCAGGCAAAUGUGAAAGGGAAUUGUCUUUCCCUCACUCUUGAUCCCUCAUUUUAGUGUGCUAGAAGUUCCUCAGGGUCAGAAAAUUCUUGGAAAAUGUAAUAAUUUGCGCUGCCUCCCUCCCUUUUGGAGCCAACUAGUCUUAUACCCAUCCUCUAUGAUAGAGAUGACUUAUUAACUCUUGGAAAUUUCCAAAAAGAAAUAAAGCCUCACUUUCUAUUCACUCCUCUGCUUUUUCGCCCACUUUCCCUGAAGGCUGGAUUAUCUCAACUCUGUAAUUCUCUGACUCUCCAGUUUUCUCCAGGGUCAGUCGUUACACCACACAAACAAGGUAGGGGAUUGGGGACGGGAUAGACAGGGUCAAUCUUCAAACACUUUCAUUCCAAAUACGAUCGUAUCCUUUCCUUUUGUAAAGGCAGGCAGGAAAAAGCUGAAGGAUAAGGAAUGUGCUUAGAGUAUGAAAACUAAAAGUCGGCAAAAGAAUAUAUACAUAUCCCAGACCAAAUCCUGCCAAACCGUCCGAAUGAGUAGAGGGAAAUUCUGACGCUCCACAACCCCUCAACUUCGCAACUUGGGCUUUCUCCAAAACCAAGAAAUUGGCGGUGCGGCUCUCCAUGACGUCAUACCACAGGCACUCCAAUCCCACGUGGGGGAGCUCUUGGUCCCGCCUCUCCUGAAAUGGUGCACCACGCCUUCUCCUCUUUAUUACCAAUCCAAUGCCGCCCCUGAGCCCCUUUCUUCCUUUUCCCGCCAUCCCAGACCUCCCAUCUUGGCCUUCGGGCCCAAUCAGGGAGGCCCUACCUAUCCGAAACCCGCUGCCUUCCCCGCGGAAGAGGGGAGGAGUUUCAACCUUUUAACUCCACCUUGGUCUGUGCAGCGCGGACCAACCCAAAUCGCCAGAAAGGAGGGGCGUGGCUUGAAGUCCCCCACCUCCAUCCCGGGGAUCACGUUUUGCCACUGGAGGGGGGAGCUGAUCGCAGGACUAGGCAACCUCCAGCCAGUCCCUGGGUCGGGCGGAUCCUCCCAGAGGUGGCACAAUGGAGCGAUCUCCAGGAGAGGGCCCCAGCCCCAGCCCCAUGGACCAGCCUUCUGCUCCCUCCGACCCCACUGACCAGCCCCCCGCUGCUCACGCAAAGCUAGACCCAGGUUCUGGAGGCCAACCUGCUGGCCCUGGCGCGGCGGGUGAGGCCCUGGCGGUGCUGACUUCGUUCGGGAGGCGGUUGCUGGUGCUGAUACCGGUGUAUUUGGCCGGGGCAGUGGGACUCAGCGUGGGUUUCGUGCUCUUCGGCCUCGCCCUCUACCUGGGCUGGCGCCGGGUCCGCGACGAGAAAGAACGGAGCCUUCGAGCAGCGAGGCAGCUAUUGGACGACGAGGAGCAGCUCACGGCGAAAACUCUUUAUAUGAGUCAUCGAGAGCUACCUGCCUGGGUCAGCUUCCCAGACGUGGAAAAGGCUGAAUGGCUCAAUAAGAUUGUGGCCCAGGUCUGGCCCUUCCUGGGCCAGUAUAUGGAGAAACUUCUGGCUGAGACUGUGGCUCCGGCUGUUAGGGGAUCUAACCCCCAUCUGCAAACAUUUACAUUUACACGAGUGGAACUGGGUGAAAAGCCAUUGCGCAUCAUUGGAGUCAAGGUUCACCCAGGUCAGAGAAAAGAGCAGAUCCUGCUGGACUUGAACAUCAGCUAUGUAGGUGAUGUGCAGAUUGAUGUAGAAGUGAAGAAAUACUUCUGCAAAGCAGGAGUCAAGGGCAUGCAGCUACAUGGUGUCUUGCGGGUGAUUCUGGAGCCACUCAUUGGGGACCUUCCCAUUGUGGGGGCUGUGUCGAUGUUCUUCAUCCGACGCCCGACCCUAGACAUCAACUGGACAGGGAUGACCAACCUGCUGGAUAUCCCAGGACUUAGCUCACUCUCUGACACCAUGAUCAUGGACUCCAUCGCUGCCUUCCUCGUGUUGCCCAAUCGAUUACUGGUGCCCCUUGUGCCUGACCUUCAAGAUGUGGCUCAAUUGCGUUCCCCUCUGCCCAGGGGCAUUAUUCGAAUUCACCUGCUGGCUGCUCGAGGGCUGAGUUCCAAGGACAAAUAUGUGAAGGGCCUGAUUGAGGGCAAGUCAGACCCGUACGCACUUGUGCGUUUGGGCACCCAGACGUUCUGCAGUCGUGUCAUUGAUGAAGAACUCAACCCACAGUGGGGAGAGACUUACGAGGUGAUGGUACACGAGGUCCCAGGGCAGGAGAUUGAAGUGGAGGUGUUCGACAAGGAUCCAGAUAAAGAUGACUUUCUGGGCAGAAUGAAGCUGGAUGUAGGGAAGGUGUUACAGGCUGGUGUUCUGGAUGAUUGGUUCCCUCUACAAGGUGGGCAAGGCCAAGUUCACUUGAGGCUAGAAUGGCUGUCGCUUUUGUCAGAUGCAGAGAAACUGGAGCAGGUUCUACAGUGGAAUCGGGGAGUCUCCUCUCGACCAGAGCCCCCAUCAGCUGCCAUCUUAGUUGUCUACCUGGAUCGGGCCCAGGAUCUUCCUCUGAAGAAGGGGAACAAGGAACCCAACCCCAUGGUACAACUGUCAAUUCAGGAUGUGACUCAGGAGAGCAAGGCUGUCUACAGUACCAACUGCCCAGUGUGGGAGGAAGCAUUCCGGUUCUUCCUACAAGACCCUCAAAGCCAGGAGCUCGAUGUGCAGGUGAAGGAUGAUUCCAGGGCCCUGACUUUAGGAGCACUGACACUGCCUCUGGCCCGCCUGCUGACUGCCCCAGAACUCACCCUGGACCAGUGGUUCCAGCUUAGCAGCUCUGGCCCAAACUCCAGACUCUACAUUAAACUAGUCAUGAGGAUCCUGUACUUGGAUUCAUCAGAAAUAUGCUUCCCCACUGUGCCUGGUAGUCCUGGUGCUUGGGACGUGGACAGUGAGAGUCCCCAGAGAGGCAGCAGUGUGGAUGCCCCACCUCGACCCUGUCACACUACUCCUGAUAGCCAGUUUGGGACUGAGCAUGUGCUUCGGAUCCAUGUAUUAGAGGCCCAGGACCUGAUUGCCAAAGACCGUUUCUUGGGGGGACUGGUGAAGGGCAAGUCAGACCCCUAUGUCAAACUAAAGCUGGCAGGACGAAGCUUCCGGAGCCAUGUUGUUCGGGAAGAUCUCAAUCCCCGCUGGAAUGAGGUUUUUGAGGUGAUUGUCACAUCAGUUCCAGGCCAAGAGCUAGAGGUUGAAGUCUUUGACAAGGACUUGGACAAGGAUGAUUUUCUGGGCAGGUGUAAAGUGAGUCUCACCACAGUCUUAAACAGUGGCUUCCUUGAUGAGUGGCUGACCCUGGAGGAUGUCCCAUCUGGCCGCCUGCACUUGCGCCUGGAGCGUCUCACCCCCCGUCCCACUGCUGCUGAGUUAGAGGAGGUGCUGCAGGUGAAUAGUUUGAUCCAGACUCAGAAGAGUGCGGAGCUGGCCGCGGCCCUGCUAUCCGUCUAUAUGGAGCGGGCAGAGGACCUGCCGCUGCGAAAAGGCACCAAGCCCCCCAACCCUUAUGCUACUCUCACUGUGGGAGAUACUUCUCAUAAAACCAAGACUGUUUCACAAACUUCAGCCCCUGUCUGGGAUGAGAGUGCCUCUUUUCUCAUCAGGAAACCACACACUGAGAGCCUGGAGUUGCAGGUUCGGGGUGAGGGCACUGGCCUGCUGGGCUCAUUAUCCCUGCCCCUCUCAGAGCUCCUCGUGGCUGACCAGCUCUGCUUGGACCGCUGGUUUACACUCAGCAGUGGUCAGGGGCAGGUGCUACUGAGAGCACAGCUAGGGAUCCUGGUGUCCCAGCACUCAGGAGUGGAAGCUCAUAGCCACAGCUACAGCCACAGCUCCUCAUCCCUGAGUGAAGAACCAGAGCUCUGGGGGGGACCCCCUCACAUCACCUCCUCAGCCCCAGAGCUCCGGCAGCGCCUCACACAUGUUGACAGUCCCCUUGAAGCUCCAGCCGGGCCUCUGGGCCAGGUGAAACUGACUGUGUGGUACUACAGUGAAGAACGAAAGCUGGUCAGCAUUGUUCAUGGUUGCCGGGCCCUUCGACAGAAUGGACGCGAUCCUCCUGAUCCCUAUGUGUCACUGUUGCUGCUGCCAGACAAGAACCGAGGCACCAAGAGGAAGACCUCACAGAAGAAGAGGACCCUGAGUCCUGAAUUUAAUGAACGGUUUGAGUGGGAACUCCCCCUGGAUGAGGCCCUGAGACGAAAGCUGGAUGUCUCUGUCAAGUCUAAUUCCUCCUUCAUGUCAAGAGAGCGUGAGCUGCUGGGGAAGGUAAGAGGGCAGGAUGGCAGGGCAGAGGUGAGGGCUGGAAGCUGCUGGUACCAAGGUUACAGUCCCUGUGAGGAAGGAAGUACCCCAGGUGAUCCUUUAGAGGUGACUCUGUCACCUCUGCAAUGGUUUGCGACGAGUAUGUGAUGACGGAGUAAGGUCUUUGGAGAUUUCAAAACGGCAUCAUCAGAAUGAGAUCCUGUCUCAAAAAAUAAAAAGAUAACAUCUUUCCCCCACCAUCCUCCAACACAGGUGCAGUUGGACCUAGCUGAGACAGACCUUUCCCAGGGUGUAGCCCGGUGGUAUGACCUGAUGGACGACAAGGACAAGGGCAGCUCCUAGGAGCUGGCGAGUCCCAGCCUGACUCUGCUCUGUCUUCCUGCCUUCGUCUCGCUCUGUCACCGCCUCAAUGUGAUGAGCCCAAAGCUAGGGUCCAAGGGCAGAGCCUGUGCCCUUCAGCCCUUUCACCUAACAGGCCCAUAUUCCGGCCUUUGACCAAAGAGAAGAACCGUAUGUUUCCUUUACUGCACGGCCUUUAUCCUUCUGGGCCCUUGGGGUGGGGACCUGAGCUGGCUGUUUCCUGCUCUGCCUGCACAUUGUUCUCCCUUCCUCCCAACUCCUCAGGGCCUCCAGUAUCUGUGCCUGGCCACUGGCAGCACUAGCAGUGGUAUUAGCUUAUGCCAAAUACAGCUUUGAAAGGAUCUUUGUUUCUUUAACUAGAUGGUCACCUUCUUCCCUACCACACGUGGGUGGGAAGGUGGACAGGCUAACCUCUCCAGCUGUGAGUCUCUUAUACUGCAUGUAGCAAAUGUUCAGCAGCUCAGGCCCCCAUGUCCAGUUCUGUCCCCACUCUUCUCAACCCUGUCCUGAAAAUUCUACUGCUCUGAUGGCUGGGGCCAGUCUCUUGUCACUUUGGAAGCUGGGGACACUUGGAUUCUACCGAAGCCUCCAAGUAGUGGCAUAUCAGUUUUGGAGCUCCUAGCUGGUGAUACACAGAGAGCUUUGGAGGACUUGGGACAGCUGGGCCAAUUUUUUUGCCCAAGUGCCUAGGCUGCUAACUCACUGACUAGAACUGAAUCUGGUACUCUCUAGUUUUGCACCAACUCUGCCAAGCCACUGUAUCUUACAUUAAACAUCAUACUUAAACCA